GAGAAAGCGAGUUCACCUGGAUUCGUUGGAAUUAAUAGCUUAUAACGUAAGUUUAAAUUAUUGUAAUAUCUUAAAUACACAAUUGAUAGAGCUAUCCAGUAUAAAUAAAGUUAGUUUAGUUUAGGUUUCCUCCUGUAGUAACACUGGAUCAAUAAGAGAUGAUCCUUACUGGACCUCUAGGAAGAACAGUUUAGAACUGAUAGAGCUAUCCAGUAUAAAUAAAGUUAGUUUAGUUUAGGUUUCCUCCUGUAGUAACACUGGAUCAAUAAGAGAUGACACUUACUGGACCUCUAGGAAGAACAGUUUAGAACUCGGUUCAGAAGGGAUAGAGCUAUCCAGUAUGAUUUAGUUUAGAUGUCCUUUUUAUUACGAAACCAUUACUAAUAAAUUUUCAAAAUUUUCCUGUUUUAGAAAUUCUGCAUAUCCAUUGGAGCAUUGAGGUAAAUGAUAUGACCAAAUCAUGUUGGUCUCCAAUGAAAUUUCGAAAGAGAUUCCAUCACCGCAAAAUGAAUCCAAAACUGAAACGUCCCAAAUUGUCUCUUCCUUGUCCCACAUACAAACUUGCCCAAAAGACAAGAAAGAAUGCGAUUCAAUGUUGAAACUAUCGAGAAGUAUUGCUGUGACAACUUUACCCAUCUUAAAUAAAUUGCCC